rnacentral:rRNA from 1 species
UGGCGCACGGGUGCGUAACGCGUGGGAAUCUGCCCUUUGGUUCGGAAUAACAGCGAGAAAUUGCUGCUAAUACCGGAUGAUGUCGCGAGACCAAAGAUUUAUCGCCAGAGGAUGAGCCCGCGUUGGAUUAGGUAGUUGGUGGGGUAAAGGCCUACCAAGCCGACGAUCCAUAGCUGGUCUGAGAGGAUGAUCAGCCACACUGGGACUGAGACACGGCCCAG